rnacentral:piRNA from 1 species
UCAGGCCCGUUUAAGGCCUCGGCUGCAGU